UCCUCCAAGGCUAAAUACUCCUGACUGACCGAUAGUGAACCAGUACCGUGAGGGAAAGGCGAAAAGAACCCCGGCGAGGGGAGUGAAAAAGAACCUGAAACCGUGUACGUACAAGCAGUAGGAGCCCACUAGUUGGGUGACUGCGUACCUUUUGUAUAAUGGGUCAGCGACUUAUAUUCUGUAGCAAGGUUAACCGUAUAGGGGAGCCGCAGGGAAACCGAGUCUUAACUGGGCGUUAAGUUGCAGGGUAUAGACCCGAAA
rnacentral:rRNA from 2 species